ensembl:lncRNA
UCUAGGUCACAACUAUCACCUGGAGUGGAACGGGCAUCCUCCAUUGCAUUCUCUUGUGGGGAAGGGAAUUUGUAUCCAAGAGGAGUGAUUUAUAAAGAAGAUGGAGGCAUUGCUAUGCGAAUUGAAAGUGCUGACUAGUACAUUCAGUGGCAGAAGAGUUAUCUGCUGAUGAGUUAUACUGUUGAGAGUUUGGCAAAUGCCCUUGAGUUUUAGAAUUAUCCACAGAAGCACUGAAGAUUGAUGACAUCCCUUUAAAAAGACUCCACAGUUUUACUUUGCAAAAACCCAUUCAUUUAAAAACAAUUCCU